rnacentral:rRNA from 1 species
UGGUUAUGGCAUCCAUGAAGUACGCAGCGAAAUGGGAUACAUAGUGUGAAUUGCUGAAUUCAGUCAAUCAUCGAACCUUUGAAUGCACAUCGCGCCCUUUGGUACUCCAAACGGCAUGCCUGUUCUAGCGUCAUUCGUACCCUCAAUCUUUGCUAGGUGUUAGGCGUCUUGUCUCACACGAGCCUCGCCUUAAAAUUAUUGGCAGCGCGACCUACUGGCUUCGGAGGGCAGCAGAAUUCUUGCACUUAGAAUCACCCUUGGUUGAGCAACCAUCAAGCCCCUAUUUUUUCACUUUUGACCUCGGAUCAGGUAGG